rnacentral:rRNA from 1 species
AUUGAACGCUGGCGGCAGGCUUAACACAUGCAAGUCGAGCGGAGAUGAGGUGCUUGCACCUUAUCUUAGCGGCGGACGGGUGAGUAAUGCUUAGGAAUCUGCCUAUUAGUGGGGGACAACAUUCCGAAAGGAAUGCUAAUACCGCAUACGUCCUACGGGAGAAAGCAGGGGAUCUUCGGACCUUGCGCUAAUAGAUGAGCCUAAGUCGGAUUAGCUAGUUGGUGGGGUAAAGGCCUACCAAGGCGACGAUCUGUAGCGGGUCUGAGAGGAUGGCCCGGCAAGGUGGGACUGAGACACGGCCCAGACUCCUUGGGGAGGCAGCAGUGGGGAAUAUUGGACAAUGGGGGGAACCCUGAUCCAGCCAUGCCGCGUGUGUGAAGAAGGCCUUAUGGUUGUAAAGCACUUUAAGCGAGGAGGAGGCUACUGAGACUAAUACUCUUGGAUAGUGGACGUUACUCGCAGAAUAAGCACCGGCUAACUCUGUGCCAGCCGCCGCCGUAACAC